rnacentral:rRNA from 1 species
GGGUCAGUAGGUUGGUCGUGCCACCGGUACGUACUGGUCACACUGAUUCCUCCUUCCUGAAGAACCGUAAUGCCAUUAAUUUGGUGUUGCGGGGAAACAGGACUGUUACUUUGAAAAAAUUAGUGUGUUUAAAGCAAGCUAACGCUUGAAUACAUUAGCAUGGAAUAAUGAAAUAGGACGAUCGAUCCUAUUUUGUUGGUUUCUAGGAUUGACGUA